GAUGAAGAACGUAGCGAAAUGCGAUAAGUAGUGUGAAUUGCAGAAUUCAGUGAAUCAUCGAAUCUUUGAACGCACAUUGCGCCCUUUGGUAUUCCUUAGGGCAUGCCUGUUCGAGCGUCAUUUAAACCUUCAAGCUAAGCUUGGUGUUGGGUGACUGUCCGCUUCACGGCGGACUCGCCUCAAAAUUAUUGGCGGCCGGUACAUUGGCUUCGAGCGCAGCAGAAACGCGAACUCGGGCCCGUCGUAUUGGCUCCCAGAAGCUAUCUUCACAAUUUUGACCUCGGAUCAGGUAGGGAUACCCGCUGAACUUAAGCAUAUCAAUAAACGGAGGA
rnacentral:misc_RNA from 1 species